UACGUAGGGUGCGAGCGUUGUCCGGAAUUAUUGGGCGUAAAGAGCUCGUAGGCGGUUUGUCGCGUCGACUGUGAAAACCCGAGGCUUAACCUCGGGCCUGCAGUCGAUACGGGCAGACUAGAGUUCGGUAGGGGAGACUGGAAUUCCUGGUGUAGCGGUGGAAUGCGCAGAUAUCAGGAGGAACACCGAUGGCGAAGGCAGGUCACUGGGCCGCAACUGACGCUGAGGAGCGAAAGCAUGGGGAGCGAACAGG
rnacentral:rRNA from 1 species